rnacentral:rRNA from 1 species
GACGAACGCUGGCGGCGUGCUUAACACAUGCAAGUCGAGCGGUAAGGCCCUUUCGGGGGUACACGAGCGGCGAACGGGUGAGUAACACGUGGGUGACCUGCCCUCAGCUCUGGGAUAAGCCUGGGAAACCGGGUCUAAUACUGGAUAUGACUCCAUGACGCAUGUUGUGGGGUGGAAAGCCUUGUGCGGCUGAGGAUGGGCCCGCGGCCUAUCAGCUUGUUGGUGGGGUGAUGGCCUACCAAGGCGACGACGGGUAGCCGGCCUGAGAGGGCGGACGGACACACUGGGACUGAGACACGGCCCAGACUCCUACGGGAGGCAGCAGUGGGGAAUUGUUCGCAAUGGGCGCAAGCCUGACGACGCAACGCCGCGUGGAGGAUGAAGACC